rnacentral:lncRNA from 1 species
AAAAAAAAAAAUACUAAUAAGUGUUAUACAAAAUACAUGCUCAAAUGAGAUGCAUUAGCUAGAAGAAUAAACAAAGUGUUAAAAAAAAAAAAAAGCAAAGCCGGUAUUUUUUAUCUUUGCUUAUAAAUUUUUUUUUUUUUUUUUUUUUUUUUUUUUUUUUUUUUGUUAUGUACAUUUCCGAACGUAUACUUUGUUCCUGCCAAUGAAUUUAGUGCGAUUUACGACGAGAAUAAGAAGAUUGCAUUAUACACUACGAAAAUGAAAAACUACGCUAUGUACUAUCAAGAUGAGAAAACAUUAAUGUUUAAAAGGUUUAAAGAAAGUAUAACAGAUUUGUUAAAGAUAAUUAAUGUUUUUUUUAUGAUCGGUAAAUUGGAAUUAAAUGAAUUUAUACGAUUAGUUCUAAUUUUAUAUGAAAAAAAAUUUCAUAGUUUAAAUGAAGUUUGUAAAAUAUGUAUAACAUAUCCUGAUUUGAUAUGUAGAGAGAAUUAUAAUUUGAUUAACGAUGACUCGAAAGAUUUGUUUUUAUUGUUAGAUGAUACUCAUCCAUUUAAAAAUGAUACAAAUACAAAUAAUCGAAUUAUUAUACUUAAUGAAAGUAAACUGCUGCAUAAAAUUUUAUCGGACCCGGUAUUAAUUGAAUUUAAUAUAAUAAUUAUAACAAAUGUACAUAAAAGAUUUUUAAAAACAGAUUUACUUUUGGCACUAUUAAAAAGGAUCCUUAUAAAAAGAAGCGAUUUGUAUGUCUUUCUCUUUUCAGACUUUUUUAUUGAAAAUGUGCUUCAUUUUUUUGAUUCCUAUAAUAGUGCUUUUUUUAGCGAGUACAAUAGGGACCGGCAUGGUGACCGGGAUAGUGAUACGAAAGAAACAAAACGGCGCAGGUCGAGUAUGACUACACAAAAUAACAAAAAAAUGGACACAAUUACAACAGCAUUCGCUGAAUUUACAAAUGGUGAAAAAAAGAUACCAGUGUUGGAAAAGAACGAAGAAGAAUCGGAUAAAGCGAGAGAAUCGGAAAAAGAGGAAUAUUCGGAUAAAGCAAGAGAAUCGGAUAAAGCGAGAGAAUCGGAAAAAGAGGAAUAUUCGGAUAAAGCAAGAGAAUCG